UGUGGCUUUGGGGUUAGGGCCUGGGGAGCCACGCGGGCACUUCCUCUCCUGGUUUCUGCUUUAUCCCCAUUCCCAGUGGCUUCUUCCUGAGUGGUCUGAGGCAAACGUGGUUCAGGACUUUCCUGCAUGGCUCACUUCCUCCACCUCCAAAACGAAACCAUCCGCAGCGGGUUUUGAAGGUAUUAGGAAAUAUUGACACUAUACAAACGAGCAUCCGGGGUAAUGAUCCUGAUCCUCACUGAUCCUCACGCCCUUAUUUACAAUGAUAAGAUCAAACAAGCUCUGAAAACUGAGGAGAAAUGCCAGUGUGUUUGACUGUGGGGUGCCACCCGGACCUUUUC